CUGCAUCUCUAUGAUCUUCAAAUUUUUCUCUGUUCAGAAAGACAUCUGGAAGACAAGGAAUAUAUAACAAUAGUGAGUUAAGGGAAACCCUUUGGCGUUUAGACAUCCUAACUGAGCCGUGUGAAUGUACCCUCAAUAUUAUUAAGGAGGAAUAUUUGUUCCAAAUGGAGGCUUCCACAGUGAAAGCCAAGGGCAGGGGGGAAGGUGCUCAAAUAGAGCCAAAGAGAAAGAGGGCACCAGCUCAUGGAACAGGAAAUGAUCCAGCCAGGAGAGCCCCCCAGGUUUUGGAGGAAACCAAGAGGGGCAAAGGCAUGCUGUGAUUUGAAAGAGACAGAAAAAGAUAACUCCAAUGAGCAAGCAGCUGGUCUUUGAAAUUCUUUAGAGAGAAGAUUGGACUUACAUCUGGACCAAUUCACAUGGUGAACUGGGGUGCAAAUGCUCCAGUAGGGAUAACACAUCCCCCAAUUCACUCCAACACAUGAAUGGCCGACACUAGAACUCUUUUUAGAACUUCACCUCAUGAUGUGGUGUGUGUUUGGGAGUGAGGGCAAAGAAAGAGGAACAAUAACGGGAAAAUGAAUUUAGCUUCCUUAAGACUGCCGGCGGGGAGGAGGGUCCCUCAGGGGCUGAGCUGAAUGCCAUCAGAGGCCUCCUAGCUAGAGAGGCGUCCGAAAUAGAUGUUUCAAGGGAAGAAGAAGGGGAGGGGGAGAAGAGGUGGGCAGAGGAGGCACAGAAAGAGAAGAGGAUUAGGGGUGAGAAAUGCCUGGUUUACAAAAGCCAACCCAUUUCUGUGAACCUUCAUUAGAAGAAUGACAAACACUCACAUGUAAAAAUCCACACCCAAAGGCUCUCAGGUACAGAGCAAUCACAAGAAAUGCCACGUGUGCACUUCAUUAAGAGACCUGCCAGCUCAGUUUCAUUUAUCCAGACUGCUCUGCAUUCUGCUGGCAACUGAGCUGGAAAAAAAAAAUGGAAGGACAGACAUACUUGAAGAGGUAAACAGAGGUGGGAACAUUCUAGCUACAAAAUAGGACAGAUGAUGCAGAAGCCAGGGGAAGGGAGAGAUGAGAUGACAUUUUUCUUAACAAACAACAACUGCUCCUCUCUCCAACUCUACAUUUGCCAGUAAUGUAAUAUUGUGGUUUUUAAGAGAAAAAAUACAACAAGAACAGACAUGUGUGGUGCAGAGACAAUUCUGUUGGCAGCCUAUUCAAAUCUACUCCCAAUUCUUCUACACUUCCCAAGACCUGAUUUUGUUUCAGUGUUCACCCUUUUAGAGUCUCCAUGUCCAGGGACAGGCUUCCUCGAUAGACCUAAACCCAUCACAGAAAAUCCAUCUUCCUUGCUAAGGACUGUUUAGACAUAGGCAUGUGACAUGAUCACACAGGCAUGUGACAAUUUUGACCAAUGAAAUGUGGCAAGUCCUAGGUUGCAUGAAUGUGUGCUCAGUUGCUCAGCUGUGUCUGACUUAGCAACCCCAUGAACUGCAGCCUGCCAGGCUCUUCUGUCCAUGGAAUUUUCUGGGCAAGAAUUCUGGAGUAGGUUGCCAUUUCCUCCUCCAUGGCAUCUUCUCAACCCAGGGAUCACACCUGUAUCUCCUACACAGGGAGGCAGAUUCUUUUACCACUUAGCUACCUUGGAAGCCCUGACAAGCACUGGGUUACUCGCUCUUAAAACACACACAUACACACAACUUCCUUCUGCCUUUGGAUAAUAUGUGAGAACAAGUGAUGGCUGGUGUCGUUGCAGCCACGUUGUUAGCACGAGGAAGUAUCUGCCACUGAGGCAGGCAGGGCAGCAAGACAAAAUGAGUUCCUUGAUAACUUUCUUGAAUGAACCAGCCCUGAAAUGCCCUACUUCUGAGUUCUUGUUAUGCAAUAUAAUUCAUUUCCCUAUACUUAAAGUUUCUUAAAAGUGUGAACUGUAGCUGAGAGGAUCCUGACUGAUGCAGGGUUAUUUGGUGGAGUAGAAGACAGAAUGAAGCACACUUUCACAAUGACUCAUGAAAAGACAAAAGACAACUGUUAAGUAAUUGCUGAAAUUCUUUAAUGUCCUUGGAAUCACGUUGGAUUAGAAUAGCAAAGGAGGGACAGUGUCACAUGUGUACAGGGCAAUGUUCAGAUUACAAAUACGACAGGAUCAACUCAUUGGCUACAAUUUCAUCUAAUAACACAAGACCCCCAACCCCAAGCUGAUUGGACAUACAGAAUUUAGGUGAGCAUUUCCUAUGACCCUCUGCCCUGAACCUCACUCUCUGGGACUCACAGCAGUUUUCCUAUCCAUGAUGGAAUGUGCUGGAGCUUAUUAUAAACCCUGCUUUUCAGCAGGUGAUGGAGGCCCUAAAGACAUGCACCUGGCCAACUGUGUGUCAAAACCAAGGCUAUAGUAGGGAAGAGAUUUUUCUUUUUAUUAUCCCUGUAUUAAAUCUGGCCAUGUUUUCCUGUGGUGGCUCUGGCGUCCUACACAGUAGAGCUCAACAUUUGCAGGGAGUUUAGGCCUGGUGCAGCAGGAAAACAAUUGCUGUGGCUGCCGGCCUGAGCAGGAAGCUUUGCAGCUGCAUAAGUGGGCUCCCUGGAGUGGAAGGCGGGGAGAAUAGGUGUGGGUAGGGGGAGGGGCUGGAGCACAGAAGGAUGAAUGACUGGGGCCUUGGGCCCCGUAGGGCAGGGGUAGAUGUGUCCAGCUCACCAGGAGCCACGGUGCGCUGACUCAGGCAUGCCGCAUCCUGCUAGUGGGGGUGACCUCAGGGCCACAAGCUCUGCCUUGCCCCUAAAACCUCAGUGCCUGGUGCCACAGAGCGGGUGGCCGCAGCAUUCUGCUGCAGGAGCAAUGGCUAGAGAUUCCAGGCGGUGGGGAAACCUGGAUUAGCCCAGAAGCAGCUACACUUGCCACAACCCACAGGACCAUAAAGCCCUAAAUGCAGCCUGGGUUGAAGGCAGAGAACCAGCACUCCCAGGUUUUGGCUCCCAUAUCAUCUCAGAAACAAAAAAUCAAAACACCAUCGGAGUCCCCUUCCUCUCUGCUUGUCCACAACCCGCCAUCACUCCAGGUCAAUUAAUCCUCUAGAAUUCCAGGCUGGAAAACUCAGCUCUAGUAGUCAGCAGACAGGUCUCAACAGGCGUUAUGGAUUUCAAACCAGAAGCCUAGCCUUCUGAGCCCACUUAAGCCCCUUUCCACUUGCCAUUUGUGCCAGGACAGACAGUGCUGCAGGCAGGAUGCCAAGAACAUCCACGCUGGGAGGUCCCACCAGGCCCUGAUGUGAAGAGAGGAGCCGUGCGCCCUCUGGACCCACUAUGCUCAACCACACCUUACUCUACAGCCACUGAAUCAUGACAAAGACGGGCACCUGAUUAAAAACCCCACCCGUUUCAAACCCUUUCCAUAAUUUUGACCAACAACUUUAAUUGAUAAUAGAAAAACAUCUUAUCUCUAAAUAAAACUAAUGCUGACAGAAAAGACCGAUGCUGAAAACCAGCCAUGUGGCUGACAUGAGCCCGUGCCUGGCCA